rfam:Blastomyces gilchristii SLH14081 genomic scaffold supercont1.3, whole genome shotgun sequence.
CCACGAACAACGCAAAAAAAAAAUAAACAACAUUCUACAAAAAAGCGUUCCUACAAAGGCUUUUUUCUUCAUAAAAAUUGCCCAUGAGGUAUGGAAAUCGUCUAUUAGAAUGGAGAGUAAAUAAUGGCCCCGGAUUUAAUCCGGCCUUUUAUGUCGUCGGUCUUGGGUGCAGUGUCACUCUCCCCCUUCAUCUUCUUUUAGACGAGGGCUGUGGGUGGGAUUGCAAUGAUUGGCGGGACAU